rnacentral:rRNA from 1 species
GACGAACGCUGGCGGCGUGCUUAACACAUGCAAGUCGAACGGAAAGGCCCUGCGUUUGCGGGGUGCUCGAGUGGCGAACGGGGGAGUAACACGUGAGUAACCUGCCCCUGACUUUGGGAUAACUUCAGGAAACUGGGGCUAAUACCGGGUAGGAGCUCUUGCAGCAUGGGGGGGGUUGGAAAGUUUCGGCGGUUGGGGAUGGACUCGCGGCUUAUCAGCUUGUUGGGGGGGUAGGGGCUUACCAAGGCUUUGACGGGUAGCCGGCCUGAGAGGGUGACCGGGGACAUUGGGCCUGAGAUACGGCCCAGACUGCUACGGGCGGCAGCAGUGGGGAGUAUUGCAGAAUGAGCGGACGCCUGAUGCAGCAGCGCCGCGUGCGGAAUGACGGCCUUCGGGUUGUAAACCGAUUUCGCCUGUGACGAAGCGUGCGUGACGGUACUGGGUCAAGAAGCACCGGCUAACUACGUG